rnacentral:misc_RNA from 1 species
GUGAAUCAUCGAAUUUUUGAACGCAAAUUGCACUCUCUGGUAUUCCGGAGAGUAUGCCUGUUUGAGGGUCAGUUUAAAUAAAAAUCGGUGUGGUUGCUGCCUUUCGUGGUGACGUACCGGUUUUGGGUUGUCUUGCCUUUGGUUAAGUGUCCUAAAAUUUUGCAUGAUUUUCUCGAAGGUAUUUAAAUGAUUUUACGUAUGUUUGCGAUAUCGGUUAAUUGGUGUGGUCAAUUUCAUGAUUCGCGACUAUAAUUUUUC